rnacentral:rRNA from 1 species
UACGGGGGGGGGCAAGCGUUGUUCGGAAUUACUGGGCGUAAAGGGCUCGUAGGCGGCCAACUAAGUCAGACGUGAAAUCCCUCGGCUUAACCGGGGAACUGCGUCUGAUACUGGAUGGCUUGAGUUCGGGAGAGGGAUGCGGAAUUCCAGGUGUAGCGGUGAAGUGCGUAGAUAUCUGGAGGAACACCGGUGGCGAAGGCGGCAUCCUGGACCGACACUGACACUGAGGAGCGAAAGCCAGGGGAGCAAACGGG